CCUGAAGUUUGCUUUUAUAGUUUGUGGACACUAGAAGUUAAGAAGUGGAAAAUCGAGAUGACUGUUCCAGGCUGCUGUGCUCAUGUUUUACUGCUGUCAUGGAGCAUGAUAGUGACAACUGUUCAUGCUGUUAAGUGGUGUUGGCAAUAUAAAGGAGAGCAAAGAUUUCAUACUGGAAGAACUGGAUAAUCCCAAGGAAUGGCAAUACAGAGGAAGAGUGGACCUGCAACAAGAAGGUUGUAUUUUGGAGGCCAAUAUAAAUAGAAUCCCUGCCAUCAGGUAGCAGCAAAAGAACAGAAAGGAGCUACCACUUACACCUGGAAGCACAGAGCUCUUCAGCGUGUGGGAAGGAGCCCCACUUGCCCACAACUCACUGAUCUGAACGGGAGCUGGAAAACUUGGGAGAAAUAUCAGCCCCCUCUCUAGCCAUGGCCACAGUAGUAAGACUUCA